rnacentral:rRNA from 1 species
AUUGAACGCUGGCGGCAGGCUUAACACAUGCAAGUCGAACGAGUGGCGGACGGGUGAGUAAUUCUUUGGCAUCUAGCUUAUGGAGGGGGAUAACUACGGGAAACUGUAGCUAAUACCGCUUACCAUAGGAUGAGCCCAAGUGGGAUUAGGUAGUUGGUGGGGUAAAGGCUCACCAAGCCGACGAUCUCUAGCUGGUCUGAGAGGAUGACCGGCCACACUGGGACUGAGACACGGCCCAGACUCCUACGGGAGGCAGCAGGGGGGAAUAUUGCGCAAUGGGGGCAAGCUGAUGCAGCCAUGCCGCGUGAAUGAAGAAGGCCUUAGGGUUGUAAAGUACUUUCGGUAGGGAGGCGUUACCGACAGAAGAAGCACCGGCUAACUCCGUGCCAGCAGCCGCGGUAAUUC